rnacentral:rRNA from 1 species
UACGAAGGGGGCUAGCGUUGUUCGGAAUUACUGGGCGUAAAGCGCACGUAGGCGGGUUUGUAAGUCGGGGGUGAAAUCCCAGAGCUCAACUCUGGAACUGCCUUCUAAACUGCAAGCCUGGAGGUCAGGAGAGGCGAGUGGAAUACCGAGUGUAGAGGUGAAAUUCGUAGAUAUUCGGUGGAACACCAGUGGCGAAGGCGACUCGCUGGACUGAUACUGACGCUGAGGUGCGAAAGCGUGGGGAGCAAACAGG